rnacentral:lncRNA from 1 species
GAGGAUCGCGCAAAAUUAAGGCCAAACAACUGAGGCAUUUAACCAGAUUAUGUUCAUGUUGUCUACUCUUCCCUGAAUUGCAUAACUUAAAUAGCAUUGGUGUUGCUUCACCCAGAAGAAUGUCAUACACAUUAACACAUAAAUAUUUCCCGGUAAUACUAGGUAAACGGCAACUUACUGUUUCUCUUGCUGCGGACAUUGCAAGAACUCCUGCUCCCAUUUCAACUUCUUGCAGUCCAACAACUACGAUCUCAACUCCAGUUGCAGCACAGCCUAACCAAGAUACAAUUGAGUCGGUUGAAGCUCUACCCUCUCCAACGUUCCACGUACCAGCUAAUAUUUUCAGAUUCUCGAUCCUUGAAUACAAAAAUUCUUUCCCAGCCAACUCAGCCCGCAAUACAUUGUCAAGGGGACCUGGAGAAGUAACAUUCCAACCUCGGAUACCUCCAUGAUACGCAAGGGUAAAUAAAUAACCACCACCAAUAGCCAUUUUUAUUACAGGGCCACUAUGAGCCACCCAUCCUCCAAGCAGCUUUCCCUCAAGGUCCAAUACCUGAACAGUUCCAUUGGAAUAACCAACCCACAGCCGAGAACAAAAAGUAAACAUGCAGAGAAUACCAGAAGACUGGUAUGAGAACUCUUGCAAGCAAUUACCAUUCCCAUCCCAUCGCAUAACUACGCCGUUUGCAGUUCCAGUCCAAAUGAGUCCAUCAGCAGAUAUGACAAUGGCCUCAGUCCUUUUACUAUCAUCACAAAACCCCCCUUUCACUGCAGCACGGCGAACAGCAUCAGCUGCUCCCAUAAGAGCAUUACGCGACCGCUGAAAGAAUCCAAUAGAAGACUGACUUUUCUCUUUCCUUGAAGCAGUGGCAAUCCUCAUCUUGGCAUCUUCAUCAAUGCCAAAAUCAGGAAACGCGGACAUGUCAUUUCGAUUUUCAAGCUGCCCAUCAAUGUUGAAUACUUUGAUCAAAUCCCUUGAGAUUCAGAAAACCAAAACGCAAUUUUUAACCAGAAAGAGAAUAAAGAAAGAUGUGUGUGUGUGUGUGUGUGGGCGCGCCCGUGUGCUUCUGAUAUUUUAUUUACAAGAAAAAACUUAAAAGCAAAACAAAAGUCACGAGGAUCAGGCAAAAUGAGGGCCAAUCAACUGAGGCAGUUAACCAGAUUAUGUUCAUGUUGUCUACUCUUCUCUGAAUUGCAUAACUUAAAUAGCCAGAAGAAUGGCAUACACAUAACACAUAAAUCUUUCCCGGUAAUACUAGUUAAACGGCAACUUACUGUUUCUCUUGCUGCGGACAUUGCAAGAACUCCUGCUCCCAUUUCAACUUCUUGCAGUCCAACAACUACGAUCUCAACUCCAGUUGCAGCACAGCCUAACCAAGAUACAAUUGAGUCGGUUGAUGCUCUACCCUCUCCAACGUUCCACGUACCAGCUAAUAUUUUCAGAUUCUCGAUCCUUGAAUACAAAAAUUCUUUCCCAGCCAACUCAGCCCGCAAUACAUUGUCAAGGGGACCUGGAGAAGUAACAUUCCAACCUCGGAUACCUCCAUGAUACGCAAGGGUAAAUAAAUAACCACCACCAAUAGCCAUUUUUAUUACAGGGCCACUAUGAGCCACCCAUCCUCCAAGCAGCUUUCCCUCAAGGUCCAAUACCUGAACAGUUCCAUUGGAAUAACCAACCCACAGCCGAGAACAAAAAGUAAACAUGCAGAGAAUACCAGAAGACUGGUAUGAGAACUCUUGCAAGCAAUUACCAUUCCCAUCCCAU